GAUGAACGCUAGCGGCAGGCUUAAUACAUGCAAGUCGAGGGGCAGCAGGGAUGUAGCAAUACAUUCGCUGGCGACCGGCAAACGGGUGCGGAACACGUACGCAAUCUACCCAAAACUGAUGAAUAGCCCUCCGAAAGGAGGAUUAAUACAUCGUAACUUAAUGAAGUGGCAUCGCUUUAUUAAUAUAGCUCCGGCGGUUUUCGAUGAGCGUGCGCCUGAUUAGGUAGUUGGUUGAGGUAACGGCUCACCAAGCCUUCGAUCAGUAACUGGUGUGAGAGCACGACCAGUCACACGGGCACUGAGACACGGGCCCGACUCCUACGGGAGGCAGCAGUAAGGAAUAUUGGUCAAUGGACGCAAGUCUGAACCAGCCAUGCCGCGUGAAGGAUGAAGGUCCUCUGGAUUGUAAACUUCUUUUAUAGGGGAAGAAAUCUCUUGAUUCUUCGAGAGUUGACGGUACCCUAGGAAUAAGCACCGGCUAACUCCGUGCCAGCCGCCGCGGUAAAAC
rnacentral:rRNA from 1 species